UUAUGAACAUAACGAUACGGAUACGAAUCAUGCGAGAAAGCACGACAAAGUGAAAAAAAAAAACAAAAUGACAGCACUCGUCAAAGUGGAGAUGUUUUAGUAUUUUUGAUCAGACUUUUUAUCCGGAAGAUUUUAACUAACAUUCAACUUGGAAGUAUCCAGCUGCUGCUCCAGAACCCAAGCGUUCAAGAGUGGAUGACGUCGAUUCAAUUGCCUUAUCGGUGCAUCUAUUUGGGAAGUGGCAAUUACCGAAGUUCCAAAGUUCCAUUCGUCUUGAUCUCUUGAUCAACAAUAAUCGCAGGAUCAAAUUCAGCAACAGACUAGCCAAUAACAGCAUAAUAUCUCGCAGCCUUUAGCUAAAGAUGGUUUUAUGGAGCCGAAAUAAGAAGGUACUUUGGGACCCGAAAAUGAACGACGACAACGAAGAUGCUUCUGCAACAAAGUUUAUACAAACACGAAACUGAAUGUUUUUAGCUAGGCAUGGCACGCAUAUCAAGCACGACCGCUUCAAUAAUAUUCCAAUAUGUGUGUCAUUCCAAUAAUUGCUCCGUCAAGUAGAUUGUAAAAAAACACAGUUAAACAAUGAAUUAGUAGUAUCUAGAUACCACCAGGCAACUGUAUGCAGUGAAUCAAAAAAAAAACCUAAAUAGCAGUACCGCAAAUCUGCUGGAGAACGUCGACGAAAGUCUUCAACCGGUGGCAUCAGGAAGGACCCAAUCAAAACCAUCACUUCAAGCGAACACACAGCGAGAGAUCUUCAUAAAUAAUAGAAUAAAUAUUGCACAAAAGGUAGCUCACCAGGUGCUGGCAACAAAAAAUGACGAUGCUGUGGGAACUGGAUCAGAGUAAUGUCCGGUUACAAAGCUACGACUGUAAGAAAGCCAUCGACAUUGACGAAAGCCAUAACGUUCUACCACACCGUAGUUGGAUACAGAAUAUGAUCGCGCUGCCGCAUCGCGAAAUGGAUGGUCAAUAUCUUUCAGGAGGUUUACGGCAAGGAACCACAUCAGUUGCAGUACUAAGUUCAUUCGUGCGAUAAAGGUGAGAUUUUCAAUGUUUAU